rnacentral:rRNA from 1 species
CAGCCGCCACGGUAAUACGGAGGGUGCAAGCGUUAAUCGGAAUUACUGGGCGUAAAGCGCACGCAGGCGGUUUGUUAAGUCAGAUGUGAAAUCCCCGAGCUUAACUUGGGAACUGCAUUUGAAACUGGCAAGCUAGAGUCUUGUAGAGGGGGGUAGAAUUCCAGGUGUAGCGGUGAAAUGCGUAGAGAUCUGGAGGAAUACCGGUGGCGAAGGCGGCCCCCUGGACAAAGACUGACGCUCAGGUGCGAAAGCGUGGGGAGCAAACAGGAUUAGAUACCCCAGUAGUCCCUGUCUCUUAUAA